AAUUCGCCCUUCGGUAAUUCCAGCUCCAAUAGCGUAUCCUAAAGUUGUUGCAGUUAAAAAGCUCGUAGUUGGAUUUCUGCGUGGACGGAGCGGCCGGUCGCAACUUGCGACUCGAGCUAGCGCUUUCCCCGCAUCCUGCCGCGAACCGUGCUACCAUUAGUUUGGUGGCGCUGGGGAUCGGCUCGAUUACUUUGAGAAAAAUAGAGUGUUCAAAGCAGGCCACACGCCUUGAAUAAGUUAGCAUGGAAUAAUGACUAAGGACUUUGGUUCUUUUCGUUGGUGUUCGGGACUGAAGUAAUGAUUGAUAGGGACAGUUGGGGCGGUCCGUAUUCCAAAGCGAGAGGUGAAAUUCUUAGACCUUCGGAAGACGAACAGCUGCGAAAGCGUUCCGCAAGGAUGUUCCCUUUGAUCAAGAACGAAAGUUGGGGGAUCGAAGACGAUCAGAUACCGUCGUAGUCUCAACUAUAAACUAUACCAGCUAGGGAUCGGCCAACGUUUAAUUAUUCGACUUGGUCGGCACCUUAUGAGAAAUCAAAGUAUCUGGGUUCCGGGGGGAGUAUGGUCGCAAGGCUGAAACUUAAAGGAAUUGACGGAAGGGCACCACCAGCCGUGGAGCCUGUGGCUUAAUUUGACUCAACACGGGAAAACUUACCAGGUCCGGACAUAGUAAGGAUUGACAGAUUGAUAGCUCUUUCUUGAUUCUGUGGGUGGUGGUGCAUGGCCGUUUUUAGUCGGUGGAUGUGAUCUGUCUGCUUAAUUGCGUUAACGGACGAGACCCCAGCCUGCUAAAUAGCGCGGCCGAGCUUUGCUCGGUGCGAGCUUCUUAGAGGGACCAUGAUGCGCGAUAGCACAAGGAAGUUUGGGGCAACAACAGGUCUGUGAUGCCCUUAGAUGUUCUGGGCCGCACACGGGCUACACUGGCGCCUGCAACGAGCAUAUCAGCUGGCCCGAGAGGGUCUUGGCUAAUCUUUGGAACCGGCGCCGUGCUUGGGAUUGACCAUUGCAAUUGUUGGUCAUGCAACGAGGAAUGCCUUGUAAACGCGAGUCAUCAGCUCGCAUUGAAUACGUCCCUGCCCUUUGUACACACCGCCCGUCGCUCCUACCGAUGAAUGUUCCGAUGAAAUUUUCGGAGAGCGCCGGAGAACGGGGCUCCGCCCUGCAGAACUGGAGGCUCAAAGACGCUUAAAUCUGAACAUUUCGAGGAAGGAGAAGUCGUAAAAGGGUAACC
rnacentral:rRNA from 1 species